ACUUCCGGGUUCGUGUCCGGUUCUCAUUGCAGUUUUGGCAAACCUUGCUUAAACAUGCUUACGCUGGCGAGUCCGUCUGUCCCCCGGAGAGUGUUCUUAAUGAUCACGAAUUAUUUACUUAACCUUUUAUUUAGUCGUUUCAAUCCGAGAUGACCCUUUAAUUAUAUUUAUUUUCGUAAUUUGCUUAAAGGCUCAUUUGUCUCGAUGCGUCAGCAUGAGCACUGGGCCGCAUCGAUUGACAAAUAUGUUACGAUGUGAAAGCCAAGCCGUUGUGAAAUAGUUGUCACGUUGCAGCCACGUGGCUAACCACGUGUGGAGGCCGUUCUCGACAACCCUUCGGUGACGCGGCGGAUCGGGAAAAGCAUAAGUACAGUUUGAUGUCCUGGACCCAUUUGCCUUCGAAGAGCACCAUACAUCUUCAAAUAAAGCAUUUUCCCUCAUCAACAA